rnacentral:lncRNA from 13 species
CAAAUAUAUCUAAGAUCAGUGAUAUGUUUACAAAUCUCUUUCAACAUGUUAUUGAAGCUCUCUUGCCCCUCCGGACUGUGAAAAUGUGUCUUAGCCUCCAAUUCUAGGCACUGAAGAGGUCCUCAUUUCUUCCCUUGCCCCAGAGCUCAGCAAACUCCCCUAGAGAGCAGCUGCUGGUAGAGCAUGUAUCUCUAGAACUUCCCCUUUCCCUUGUUCAUGCAAAUGUGUGGUCUCAUCUCUUCUUCAAUAUCUUUUUUCUUAAAAACAAAAACUUAUUUUAGGCUCGGGGGUACAUAUGCAGGUACUAACCCCCAGUGGCUCAGAAUGUGACCUUAUGUAGACAUAGAGACAAUGCAAAUAUAAUUAAGUAAGAUGACAUCAUAAUGGAGUAGGAUCGGCCCUUAAACUACUGGGACCAGUGUCCAGGUAAGAAGAGAAGAGACACAGAUAUACAGAGAGACGCACAAAGAGGAAGGCCGUGUGAAGACAGAGACUGGGAUUGGAGCAACGCUGCUGGGGACAGGAAGCACACAGAGCUCCAGCAACCUGAGGAGGACAAGCCCAACAAAUUACUCUUCCUGCCUCUGCAUCUAAUCUCUUCCUUCCUGCCGCCAUCUGUGCCUGGCAGGACCUCCGCACACAGCAGCGGGGAUUCACAGAGACUGUUCCACGACAUACCUGCCCUGUGCCACUCAACGUCAGGGAUUUCUGCGGCAUCUGAUUGGAGAAAAUAAUUUUAGUUCUAAUAUAAAGAUG